GUGCUCUCUUGGGCAGCACAUAAACUCAAAUAGGAACGGUACAGAGAAGAUGAGCAUGGCCUCUGUGCAAGGAUGACACGCAAAUUUGAGAAGCUUCCAUAUUUAAA
ensembl:snRNA U6 U6 spliceosomal RNA